GUUCCUAGUCGAUUGUUUCUGAAGCUCCACAACGGGAACUCCCUGAUUUUCAAUGAAAAUGAUUUUCAGCAAUUCUAUGUUAGGGCAUAUGGGGAAGUGCUUGCUUUGUGAAAAAUAGCUUUAGGUGAAAGUACUUGUGAGAGGGUGGGGCCUGUUGAAAGAAUUAUAGCAGAUGUGAACUUAAAGUCAGAGUUCAAGCUGGCUGAGAAGACCAGACAAUCACCUGAGCUGUCACUGAGCCUUGGUGCCAGGAACAAUGGACAAGAUUCUGGGAGCAUCAUUUUUGGUUCUGUGGCUUCAACUAGGCUGGGUGAGCGGCCAGCAGAAGGAAAAAAGGGACCAGCAGCAGGUGAAACAGAGCUCUCAACCUUUGACAGUCCAGGAAGGAGACAUUUCAAUUCUGAACUGUACUUAUGAGAACAGUGCCUUUGACUACUUCCCAUGGUACCGGCAACAUCCCGGCAAAGGACCUGCAUUAUUGAUAGCCAUACGUUCUGGUUCAAAUGCAAAGGAAGAUGGAAGAUUGAGAGUUUCCCUCAGUCAAAGUGCCAAACAUGUGUCCUUGAACAUCAAGGCUUCCCAGCCUGGAGACUCAGCCACCUACUUCUGUGCAGCAAGUGCACAGUGCUCUCCAGGCACCUGCAGCCUGUACCCAAACCUGCAGCUGAGGCUCCAGCCAAACCCUGCUGUGUAG